rfam:Schistosoma margrebowiei strain Zambia genome assembly, scaffold: SMRZ_contig0002379
AUCCAGUGAAUGAGUCCCAAAUAGGACGAAACGCGCAUCAUGGAU